UGGUUAGAGCUUGAUAACAUAUAGAUAGAUUUAGCUCCUUUUCUAUCUUCUUCAAGGUUUUGCAACUCUAUGACAUUGUCAUUACGUUUUCCUCAUACAGAUGUAAAUAUAUGCCAAUCAUCGUCAAGUCAUUUAGAAAAAUAUCUCGUUGAUAGGCUCUGCUGAUGGGUGCUGCUGAUAAGUAUAAAGGGGUUGACUUAAGUGGUGAGCACUGUCGUCUAGGGGCGUCUAGGUUGAACACGGUUUGAUUUUGUAAGGUGAUAUUAACCACGAGGAGAGCAGGUUUUUCUAAUCUUGUUCAACUAGGUGCCCAAUGAAAAAACCGUUCCCAUGAUGAUAAAAUUGCGGGAGUCGAAUAUCUGACCCGGAAAGAAGAGGAGGAAGAAAAUAAUGGGUAUCUGUAUCGUUUGAUCCCGCCUGUUCAGUGUCUCACUUAACAAGCAAGAUAUGGCUAGGGCUGGCGGAUAGAUAUCAUAUGGGUGAGUCGAGCCGGAGGAACAUUGCCAUCCGCCACGCAGUGUAGCAUGGUAUACAUGGCGAGAGCGAUUGUAUGUGGCAGGUAGUCAAGCAGAGCCGCCGCCGCCCGUGCAGCAGAUGUAUUGCAUGUGUUUCAAAGGUACAGUUGGCAACUGUGCGCCGUAGUGCUUGCCGAAAAGCUUGCCGGAAAGCUGGUGAUGAGCGGGGUCCCCGUUUCGGCAAAGAGGUUUAACUCACAUACAUACUACUAUCCUAUGAAGCUAAAAUCGGCCGAGAUAAAAUGAGAAAAACAAGGUGAGGAUGGGUUUAGUCAAGCCUGUUCCCAAUCCGCUAGCGAUCCAGCAUAAAAAAAACCUAUCCCGGGGUACGGAUUGGUUCGUGGCAUCGUAGAACUGUUGUUUUUGUGGUCUCCCUCAUCCUCUUCAUUUUUCGGGGAAUUGGGUCGCUAAAAAUUUCGCAACAGCAGCGAGAGGAAUGCAGAAGCAAAAGAAAAGAAAAGAGAGAAAAGAAACUAGAUUUAUCACCUAUUCUUUGUGGUCAUCCAGAUUGCUGCAACCAAUGACACCGCUGUUCGACGGGAAAAAGGACUCAGCGACAGGGCCGUUGCAAUCCUGAGUCCGUCCGAAGCUGCUGAAUGCGGAAGAUCAUCUCAAUUGAUGUUGUUUCGAAUUUCAAAAAAAAGUAGAAACAGGACCAAGCCAGUCCAGCAAUUGCUGUGGCAAUGAAAGAAAAAAAAAUCACUUUCAUCCAAAUUUCCAAAGACAUAUCAAUGGG
rnacentral:sRNA from 2 species